UGCAGCUCUUUGGAUAAACAGAGAUAAACAUAAGGACCCAAAGGCCACGCUAUUGACUGUUCCUAUCUCUUGCCUCUAUCGCUCAUUCUAUUUUUGUUUUAGGCACCACAAGAAGUUUCUGCCUCACUUUCUUCAGUCUCAAUUUAGAGAUGGGAAAAAUAACUUCCAGCAUCACCUACGUGGUCCCUUCCGGGCAGAGGUGCCUAUGAUGGGAUGUGACCUGUAAUUUAGGCUGAAAAUACAGAACGGCUUACUCAGAUGCUUGAAACUCCAGCUACAACAAAGGACAAAGUAUCCUGCAAACAGCAUCGUGAUGCCACCGACUCCACUCUUCACGGUGGUGCUGCACCUGAUCCAGCCUGUUUAAAAAGAAACAGGUCUGUCAGAGUGAAAUGUCAGACUCCAGAAUGAAGAGAGACGAACAGAAGAGCAGGAAGACUACAAAGUUGUCCCCCUUUUUCUGGAGCCUUGCUGUAACAGCCACAGCUAAAGUGAGACAAAGUUCUCCAAAUGCCUGGAACCAGCAGCAGAGCCCAGCAGUCAAUGACUCCAGCCUCACCUUUUUGGAGAGCUCCCAAGAACCUCAUUAGAGAGAAGUUGGAGGUUGUGAGUCUGGUCGGGGGUUCCAAACUCCUCACUGCCGUCGAACUUCUUUCCAACAAAGGAACUAGGGUUCCAAACAGAAGUCACUGUCAUAGUUCAUCUAAAUUCAUCCUCUUCCCCGACACUCAGUGCCCAAAGUUCCCAGGGCGAGGCUGUAGGAAAAGUGCGUUCUAAAUCGGUAGAUUAAUGUCUGCAUUGGGCUGUGGCUAACUUCGAAGCGCUGCAAGUCAAAGCAGUCUAUUCCAGAUCAAAAAGAGGUUCCUCAACAGACUAAGGGUCCCUGGGGGUUAAGACCUAGAUCCACCUCUGAUCUGAUGAAUACAGUGCCCAGACGACCCACAUGUACAUGCUUAAUGAAACGACUCAUUUGUACCUCCUAUCAUCCACUAGACAUCGUAGCAAAAAGCCUGACUUUCCACUGUAAUGUUAACUACCUGUCACCUGCUACCUGUCACCACUACCUACAGCUGACAGGCGUGUUCUAUUAUCACUGCUGCUGACCUGCAAACACGUCUUAUUUACGUUCAAUAUGUGAGUAACUAAAGUUGAGCCAGAAAAGAGGGUUUAUGCUAUGUA